rnacentral:rRNA from 1 species
GAUGAACGCUAGCGGCAGGCCUAAUACAUGCAAGUCGAACGGUAAAUGUCCCUUCGGGGACGAUGAGAGUGGCGCACGGGUGCGUAACGCGUAUGCAACCUACCCAAUGCAGGCGGAUAGCCCGAAGAAAUUCGGAUUAACCCGUCAUGAGGAGCGGAGAGGGCAUCCUUUCUGUUUCAAAUAUUUAUAGGCGUUGGAUGGGCAUGCGUGCUAUUAGAUAGUUGGCGGGGUAACGGCCCACCAAGGCGACGAUCGGUAGCCGACCUGAGAGGGUGAUCGGCCACAUUGGAACUGAGAAACGGUCCAGACUCCUACGGGAGGCAGCAGUGGGGGAAUAUUGGGCAAUGGGCGAAAGCCUGCCCAGCAACGCCGCGUGA